rnacentral:rRNA from 1 species
CAGCCGCCGCGGGAAUACGAAGGGGGCUAGCGUUGCUCGGAAUUACUGGGCGUAAAGGGAGCGUAGGCGGAUCGUUAAGUUGGGGGUGAAAGCCCGGGGCUCAACCUCGGAAUUGCCUUCAAUACUGGCGAUCUUGAGUAUGGAAGAGGUAUGUGGAACUCCGAGUGUAGAGGUGAAAUUCGUAGAUAUUCGGAAGAACACCAGUGGCGAAGGCGACAUACUGGUCCAUUACUGACGCUGAGGCUCGAAAGCGUGGGGAGCAAACAGGAUUAGAUACCCCAGUAGUCCCUGUCUCUUAACA